rnacentral:tRNA from 1 species
GCCUGGGUGGCUCAGUCGGCUGAGCGUCUGACUUGGGCUCAGGUGAUGAUCUCACGGGUCAUGGGUUCGAUCCCUGUUUCGGACU